rnacentral:rRNA from 1 species
UACGAAGGGGGCUAGCGUUGCUCGGAAUUACUGGGCGUAAAGCGCACGUAGGCGGCUCUUUAAGUCGGGGGUGAAAUCCUGGAGCUCAACUCCAGAACCUGCCUUCGAUACUGUAGAGCUUGAGUUCGGGAGAGGUGAGUGGAACUGCGAGUGUAGAGGUGAAAUUCGUAGAUAUUCGCCAAGAACACCAGUGGCGAAGGCGGCUCACUGGCCCGAUACUGACGCUGAGGUGCGAAAGCGUGGGGAGCAAACAGG